UACGGGAGGCAGCAGUGGGGAAUAUUGCACAAUGGGCGCAAGCCUGAUGCAGCCAUGCCGCGUGUAUGAAGAAGGCCUUCGGGUUGUAAAGUACUUUCAGUCGUGAGGAAGGUGUUAAGGUUAAUAACCUUAGCAAUUGACGUUAGCGACAGAAGAAGCACCGGCUAACUCCGUGCCAGCAGCCGCGGUAAUACGGAGGGUGCGAGCGUUAAUCGGAAUUACUGGGCGUAAAGGGCACGCAGGCGGUUAAUUAAGUUGGAUGUGAAAUCCCCGGGCUUAACCUGGGAAUGGCAUUCAAGACUGGUUAGCUAGAGUCUUGUAGAGGGGGUAGAAUUCCGAUGUGUAGCGGUGAAAUGCGUAGAGAUGUGGAGGAAUACCGGUGGCGAAGGCGGCCCCUGGGACAAAGACUGACGCUCAUGUGCGAAAGCGUGGGGAGCGAAACAGGGAUUAGA
rnacentral:rRNA from 1 species